UAGUGGCGAACGGGUGAGUAACACGUGGGCAAUCUGCCCUGCACUCUGGGACAAGCCCUGGAAACGGGGUCUAAUACCGGAUAUGAGCUGGAACCGCAUGGUUCUGGUUGUAAAGCUCCGGCGGUGCAGGAUGAGCCCGCGGCCUAUCAGCUUGUUGGUGAGGUAAUGGCUCACCAAGGCGACGACGGGUAGCCGGCCUGAGAGGGCGACCGGCCACACUGGGACUGAGACACGGCCCAGACUCCUACGGGAGGCAGCAGUGGGGAAUAUUGCACAAUGGGCGAAAGCCUGAUGCAGCGACGCCGCGUGAGGGAUGACGGCCUUCGGGUUGUAAACCUCUUUCAGCAGGGAAGAAGCGAAAGUGACGGUACCUGCAGAAGAAGCGCCGGCUAACUACGUGCCAGCAGCCGCGGUAAUACGUAGGGCGCAAGCGUUGUCCGGANUUAUUGGGCGUAAAGAGCUCGUAGGCGGCUUGUCACGUCGAUUGUGAAAGCCCGGGGCUUACC
rnacentral:rRNA from 1 species